rnacentral:rRNA from 1 species
AUGAUCCGCUGCCAGGAGGAGGACAUUCAGCAGAUUCUCGCUCUGGCCGGCCGCAAAUUCCAUGCGCUGCCUAUCACAUACCUCGGCCUGCCUCUUUCUCUACGGGCCCUGACCCGUUCGGAGUUGCAACCCCUCAUUGAUCGGAUCGCAGCGCAGUUGCCAACAUGGAAAGCGGGCCUCCUCCGUCGGGCCGGCAGACUCACGCUCGUUAAUUGCAGGCUCUCGGCGAUGCCAAUCUUCCACCUUAUGGCCCUCGACCUGCCGCCAUGGUUCUUCAAGUGCAUCGAUAAACUUUGCAGAGGAUUCUUCUGGCGUGGGCUGGAAGAUGCAAAGGGGGGUUGUUGCCUUGUGGCCUGGCAUAUCGUCUGCUCGCCCAAGCCCUACUGUGGCCUGGGUGUCCUCAACCUAAAACUGCUUAACCAGGCACUGCGCCUGCGCUGGCUAUGGCUGUAG